GAGAGCCGUGCUCGAGCAGCAGCAGCAGCAGCAGCUCCACCAGCACCAACACCACCACGAUCACGAUCACGGGCAUUGUUCCGAUGCAGAGCUCGCCGAGAGGUACAAGGACCUGUGCAAGAUAUCAGAUGGUUCAUCUCCGAGGUACGAAGUUACCUCUGCUUUGCAUGUAGUGAGAACUUGUCUCUCCUGGAAGUAGCCAUCCGAGAGUUCCAAGGAAACACAGAAGGGAGCGUGUAUCGUCUUUGAAUUUCAAGAAGCC
rnacentral:lncRNA from 1 species